rnacentral:misc_RNA from 1 species
GAUGAAGAACGCAGCGAAAUGCGAUAAGUAAUGUGAAUUGCAGAAUUCAGUGAAUCAUCGAAUCUUUGAACGCACAUUGCGCCCGCCAGUAUUCUGGCGGGCAUGCCUGUCUGAGCGUCAUUUCAACCCUCAUGCCCCUAGGGCGUGGUGUUGGGGAUCGGCCAAAGCCCGCGAGGGACGGCCGGCCCCUAAAUCUAGUGGCGGACCCGUCGUGGCCUCCUCUGCGAAGUAGUGAUAUUCCGCAUCGGAGAGCGACGAGCCCCUGCCGUUAAACCCCCAACUUUCCAAGGUUGACCUCAGAUCAGGUAGGAAUACCCGCUGAACUUAAGCAUAUCAAUAAGCGGGGA